AAGAACUUUACCAGGUCUUGACAUCUUUUGAUCACCUGAGAGAUCAGGUUUCCCCUUCGGGGGCAAAAUGACAGGUGGUGCAUGGUUGUCGUCAGCUCGUGUCGUGAGAUGUUGGGUUAAGUCCCGCAACGAGCGCAACCCUUAUGACUAGUUGCCAGCAUUUAGUUGGGCACUCUAGUAAGACUGCCGGUGACAAACCGGAGGAAGGUGGGGAUGACGUCAAAUCAUCAUGCCCCUUAUGACCUGGGCUACACACGUGCUACAAUGGAUGGUACAACGAGUUGCGAGACCGCGAGGUCAAGCUAAUCUCUUAAAGCCAUUCUCAGUUCGGACUGUAGGCUGCAACUCGCCUACACGAAGUCGGAAUCGCUAGUAAUCGCGGAUCAGCACGCCGCGGUGAAUACGUUCCCGGGUCUUGUACACACCGCC
rnacentral:rRNA from 1 species